rnacentral:pre_miRNA from 1 species
AUCACCCAGGGAUCUUGUUAAAAGGCAGAUCUGGAUUCUGGAAGUCUGCACCGGGGGUCUGAGUCUGCAUUUCUAACAAGGUCCCACUUGAUGCUGA